UACGUAGGGUGCAAGCGUUGUCCGGAAUUAUUGGGCGUAAAGAGCUCGUAGGCGGUCUGUCACGUCUGCUGUGAAAACUCGGGGCUUAACCCCGGGCCUGCAGUGGGUACGGGCAGACUAGAGUGCGGUAGGGGAGACUGGAAUUCCUGGUGUAGCGGUGAGAUGCGCAGAUAUCAGGAAGAACACCUAUGGCGAAGGCAGCUCUCUGGGACGGUACUGACGCUGAGACGCGAAAGCGUGGGGAGCGAACAGG
rnacentral:rRNA from 1 species